UUUAUUAAGAGUUUGAUCCUAGCUCAGGAUGAACGCUGGCGGCGUGGAUAAGGCAUGCAAGUCAAACGGGUGCAUCUCACAAAGCUGAGAUGCAGAAUUAAGAAUAUAGAAUUAUGAGUUAUGAAUAAGAAGCGAUUCUUCAUUCAUACUUCCUAAUUCAUACUUCAUUAUUCUGCACCGAGGUUUUGCGAGGUGCAUCAGUGGCAGACGAGGUAGUAAUAAGUAGGUACGAACCUGGAAGUCAGGAAUAGCCGCGCGAAAGCGCGGGUAAUACUUGAUAGUCUGGUCAUUCCUCAUUGGGCUCGGAAUGACCCGCAGAAUAACGCAGAACGAAUGCGGAAGGUCGCUGAAGAAAUGCUCUUGUAUUUUUUCGGCGAUUGUCCGCGUUAAGUCCGCGAUUGUCUGCGGGUCGCGACGAGCGUAGCGAGGAGUGACCAGUAAAGAUUUAUCGCUUCCAGAUCGGCCUGCUCGGUAUCAGCUAGUUGGUAGUGUAAAAGACUACCAAGGCUAUGACGCCUAGGGGAGGUGAGAGCCUGACCCCCACCGAUGGAACUGAGACACGGUCCAUACACCUACGGGUGGCUGCAGCCGAGAAUAUUCGACAAUGGGCGAAAGCCUGAUCGAGCGACGCCGCGUGGAAGAUGAAGUCCUUCGGGAUGUAAAUUCCUUUUGUAGUCCAGAAAGUUUAUUGAUCGGACUAAGAAUAAGAGGUUGCUAAACUCGUGCCAGCAGCAGCGGUGGAUGCGAGAGGUGAAUGGAACUCAUAGUGUAGGGGUGAAAUCCGUUGAUAUUAUGGGGAACACCAAAAGCGAAGGCAAUUCACUGGCGCACUCCUGACUCUGAAACACGAAAGCGUGGGUAGCGAAUGGGAUUAGAUAAACGCGUUUGUAAGGCAAGCGCUAAAUGCAAAAUGUAGAUCUCAAAAUGAAAAAUUGUCGUGUCGCCGGAGGCGACUCAAUAAUUUUAAUCUUUGAUUUUUAAAUUUUAAUUUUAAGCGGGCGGAGCGAACGCACAUGUCUCUUUCUGUGGUAACACAGAUUGUAAUUUGGCUAUAUGUUCCCGAUUUGUCUGCGAGCGUAGCGAGUAGCUACAAAUCGCAAUCCCUCCGGCCUUUUGGUUGGUGGAGAAAAACAAAAUCGGGAAACCGCCGGUCACGUCAUCACGACGAAAGUCUUGAUGGUGGAAGGCCGGUGGGGCUGGAAACUCCGUUGUAUCAUUAAGUACGAGCGAAAGCCGUCAAAAUCUUAAUGUGCGGACAAUCAGCAGGGAAGACUUGUAAACUUUGUUGAAGAUAUUUUGGUGGUUCUGACCCGUGGCGAUUCGAACAUGAGACUUCUGCACUCAAGCAGUGCUGAACAAACGUGUCGGAUAAACAUGGAAGCAAGGCAUGCCCAAAAGGCAAGCCAAAAGCAGGUGAGAUGGAGGUAUUCGAUAAAAUCACGAUCGAACCAUCUUACUAAUCGGAACUCUAUAGGCUCAUCGUGAUUGCCUGGAGGGUUGGAGAAGCCUUGUUCUCCCACCACAUCUUAUUAAAUUCUUCGGACAACCUCGGUUGUCCCUUCAACAAAGUUUACAAGAACCCUCAGAGACUAAACGCCAAACCCCUAAACCGGAUUCUCCGGUUGGGUGAAGAUAUAGUCCGACCUCUAUGGCGACAUAGAGAGCGAAACAGAAAUGUUUUCGCCGGUAGUAAUUGAGAAUUGAAGAUUUCGGGUAUUGAUUGAAAAUUGAUACUUGAAAAUUGAAAAUUCUUUUGUUACUCCGUAACAAAAGUGACCCCAGUAGUCCACGCCCUAAACGAUGUUCAUUAGCUAUUCGGAGUAUCGACCCUCUGAGUGGCGUAGCUAACGCGUUAAAUGAACCGCCUGGGUAGU
rnacentral:ncRNA from 1 species